rnacentral:lncRNA from 1 species
UCGGCUCGCAUUUUCCCCCGCUCCCCGCCGCUCUCUUCUCUGAUGCGACGCAUUUGGAUCUCGUCGUCCUCGCUGCAUCUACCGUUCGCCGUCGCAUCUCCUCACCGGUGCCAAGGUAAAGCUCUCCUUCUCUCUCUCCCCUUCCUCCUGUCCCAAGUUCUAGUCCCUCCCUACCAUCCCCAGCUUCUGGCCACCUGCUCGCCGUCGCUCGCGGCCGCCCGGCCGGUCGUGAGAGCAACCACGGGACUUCGGCGGCACGUAGACCACGGGCGCGCGUGCACCGGCCUGGCACUCGCGGCCGGCCGCCUGAUUUGCCUGUGAGAGCUGCUGCCAACUAGAUCCACGCAUGUGAGCAAGCACGGGAUGUGCCCUUGCCAUUGAGCAGCUUGAUCUCCUGUUUGAUUCGGCCGCUGGCCUUGUAGAGGCCCGAUCUGGUUGUGAGAUCCUAUGGAUUAGAGAUGAUUCUGCAUAUUUUUUUGUUAACUUCAUGAAUAAUUUCUGUAUAUGUUCCUUUUGAUUUGACCAGGAUAAAGAAGAACUAGAGAUCAGCUAGCUAGAGGAAGAAGAAGAAGAUAGACAAGCUAGUUUGUUUUGUAUUUGUGCUGUUGGGAUUAAGAGAUCAGCUAGCUAGAGUAGAUAUUAUAGACAGUAAAGGGUGCCUUCAGAGCUGUUCUGUGUAUGUAUGCAAAAUAUAGGACCUUGUGAAUGUUGACAAUGGAAUACACAGAAGUACAUCAAUUUUCAUUUGUUUUCUUUCCCUGUUUAGCUGCCUCUUUGAUUCCAAGGAUUUCAUAUGAAAUUGCAGACAUUAUGAUUUCUUAUAUGUAUUUGAUAAUAUUAGUUUACUUCAAUCAUCAAAGAUAUCUGAGUUGGAGUGCAUGUCACCAAAACAGUCUUCUAAUUAUUUUGCAUACAUGUACAAGUACCUAGAAUCAAAUUCCACAUUUAUCAUAUAUUUGGCCUCAUGCAGCCUACCAAACAACAUCUGAGGUGAGCCUGGCCCAUAUCAUGCAAGUACACCAAACACACAUCUCG